CUCUGAUACCAAUUGUUAGUUUGUAUGGGUCCACCAAAUCAUAGAUUACCUGGUCCUCUACAGGGUUCUACUGAAAGCACUUAAUAAAACAGUAAGUAAAUGAGGCAGAGGACUAAAAAUCCUACACAAUGGGAUAAAAAAACAACGACCUACACCUGUAGGAUUUUAACCUCACUAACUUGUAAUCUACCUAUUACAAGUCACUUUCCAAUACUUCCUAUUGCAAAGAAUUUACUCAACUAACUUGUGAUACCUUUACUACAAUCCACUUUGUGAAUAUCCUAGUGACAGAGGCUUUUUCUAACUUUUGAUGCUAUCACCACAAGCCACUUUCUAACUCUACGAUUACAAAGACUUUUCCUUAUGACUAAAUCUAGUCACACCAUAAACUCUAGGAGUUUAUGAAUUUACAAGAGGAUUUCUAAUCAAAAUGCUUUUGGGUAAGCUAUUUAGGAGAUACUGUAGGUACAAUAACAAGGUUACAACUCAACUAGGACAACAACAAUCUAUCUUUUAGGAACUGAUCCGUAGUAGCGUUCAACCUUGUUCUUCAAGCUUGUGAGGAUUGAUUUCUUUGUUUGUUUUUGCAAGAGGCUUGAAUAAGAAACAUAAACCUUUCAAUGAUAUUUUUGUAUAAAGCCCAUUGGGUACAUCUUGAUCACAUCACUUGAAAUGAUGUACGUACUUUGUUUGAUUAGAGAAUGAGUGGGCUAGCAGUGUAGUGCAGUGCAACAGAAACAGUGCCGUCAAUCACUUCAAUUCUAGCUGUGUCCAAAUCAUUUUGUACUGCUAUGAGAAAACCACAAGAGCAUCAGGUCCUUGUGUUGGUUCCUAGAUCCUAAAACUAUAUCAGUUCACCUUUAGCUGGAAUCCGUUAAAGGUUGCAGCAAUCCAAGUAGGUCAGGUUCCCCAUCUGGUUCUUAAUAGUUAGUUUGUUAGAUCAUCAAAACAUAAACCAAGAGUAUUUAAGAUCUAUCACAUCCAAAUGCAUAAAGUAAACAUUAUCUUCAAAAAUAAAAUUUGCUUCAUUAUUUUUUAUUGUCUUCUUUAGGGAGCCUUUAUAAUGCCCAACCAAGUGCUUUAAAGUACGAUAGGUACGUGAAGCGCCCCUUUCCUCCACUUCUAUAGCACAUAUUUUCUGUAGUUGUUGUUUGCACCGAUUCAUGAUUUUGUUCCUUUCUUUUUGACUUUUGGUGUUUAAGAUGGUUCGUUGGUGCAUUAUAAUUAUCAUGAUUAGAGUUUCUUCCCCAAUCACCGCCAUGAACACGACUGGGGUCACGGACUCUUCCACGCUUAGCUUGGUGGACGUAUGUCUUAUUCACCUUAGGGAAUGGACAAGAACAAUAUAUCAGCUUUUAUGGAUUUUCAUUAAUAACCAUUAUGUUGCUCGAUCACAAGAAGGUGUGAAAUAAAUUCAGAAUAUUUUUUCUCUAACAUAUCAUGAUCAGUAAUAUUAUCACCACAUAGUUUCAAUUAGGAGAUAAUUAUGAACAUAAUAGGAUUAUAUUCACUGAUAGAUUUAGAAUCUUGUAGCCUUAAAUGAGUCCGAUCACAACAUGCUUGUGGAAAAACGACUAUUUUCAGGUGGUCAUGUCUAACUUUUAAAGUAUUCUACAAUAUCUAACAUUGAGAUAUUUCAUUUAUAAACCUUCAUCAAGGUGACGGCGUAUGAAUAUCAUUGCUUUGGCAGAUCUUGAUUUGAUGCCUGAUUUUUAUCCUUGAUGGUAUCUGUUUGACCCAUUGCAUCAAGAUGAAUGUUAGUAUCAAGCACCCAAGACAUGUAGCUUUUGCUCGAUAUAUCCAUAACUUCAAAUUCAAGCUUAGAAAGAUUUGACAUUAUUUAGAAAAAGAAAGUUUGUACCUUUGAUACUUUCAAAUUAUUUGCUCGAGAUGGCAGAGUGUCGUGCCUAUAACGUGUUAUAAAAUAAAGACUAUAAAGUAAAUGAACAAAAGACAAGUAUAGAGAGACUAAUAUAUUAUUCAACUUAAAACUGAUUUACAUAAUGAACUGAAAUCUCCUUUAUUUAUUAAAAAAAAAAAGAAGAAGGAAGAAGCUGCUAGGCUUUGUAAGGAGCAGCUGUGAGGCUUUAUUCUUGAGUUGCUUAUAAGCUAUCUUCAUGAACUACUCGGAACUUGCUUGUUAAAUAAGAACAUGCUGCCAGUCAUUUCAUUGAGUUGUUUGUGAUCUGUCUGCAUCAACUACAUACUUGUGAUAAACUGCAAUGGAAUAGUAAAUGCAAAAGAUUAUCUAUAACGACGUAAUAGAUGGAUAUCCCCAAUAUAAUAGUUUCAUAAUAUUAAACAAAAUAUAAGGAAUAACAACUGAGAGGACAUAAAAAUACAUUCACAUGGUUAUGUAUAUAUGUCAUACAACCUUUUUUUCCUUCUGUGAACAAAUAUUUGUGGUUCGACAACCAGUAAAAAUAAUAUAGAGUAAAACAUUUAAAAUUUACGUCAGUUCUCACUUUAUUAUGUGUCUAAGAGAUAAAAUGCAAAACAUAUAUAAACAGCGGCGGAUGCAAACGAUUUGACAAGAGAUUCAAUAAAUUUUCAACAAAUAUUAAAUAUGAAAAAUAUGUACAAUUUUAAAGUACAAUAAUUUCCAUUUAAGUGUUGGGGAAGCAACGACAAAAAAAACACAACGGAAGCGCAAUACAAUCUUUUUCCCCAAAUAAACACAAUGAAUGACAAAGGCACAAUAACUUCCAAAAUAAUUUCCAGCAGCAGAUACACAGCAGCAACAAUUCAGUAAAACAGUGGAAAUAAAAUAGACACAAGCAAUUUACGUGGAAACCCCAAAUUGGGGAGAAAACCACGGGACCGAUCAACAACGAUCCAAAACUUCCACUAAUCAACAAGAACCANNN
rnacentral:lncRNA from 1 species